rnacentral:rRNA from 1 species
CCCUUAGAUGUUCUGGGCUGCACGCGCGCUACACUGAUGCGCUCAACGAGUUUACGACCUUGCCCGGAAGGGUUGGGUAAUCUUUUUAAAACGCAUCGUGAUGGGGAUAGAUUAUUGCAAUUAUUAAUCUUUAACGAGGAAUUCCUAGUAAGCGCGAGUCAUCAACUUGCGUUGAUUACGUCCCUGCCCUUUGUACACACCGCCCGUCGCUACUACCGAUUGAAUGGUUUAGUGAGGCCUUCGGAUCCGCGACUCGUUUUGUGGAGAAGUUGGACAAACUCAGUCAUUUAGAGGAAGUAAAAGUCGUAACA